rnacentral:rRNA from 1 species
GUCUACCGCCCUACCACCCUGAAUGUGCCCAAUCUACUCUGAUCUCAGAAGCUAAGCAGGGUCUGUCCUGGUUAGUACUUGGAUGGGAAAAUU